AUCGCUACUGACGCGCAACACAACGUAUCAAGACACUGAAACCACACUGCUGGAAACUACCGAGAAGAUGACACCAAACACCGUGACCCCUACGUCACCACGAAACGCCUAUCAAAGGAGCCGGACAUCGAUGGAGCAGACCACACUUACUCAGCAACAGUGGUGACGUGCUGUUAUGGCCCUGUGCUGAGUGAUUUCUUCGUGUUUACAGGAUUACCUGCAUCGCUACUGACGCGCA